rnacentral:rRNA from 1 species
UACGUAGGGUGCAAGCGUUAUCCGGAGUUACUGGGUGUAAAGGGAGCGUAGACGGUAAUGUAAGUCUGGAGUGAAAGGCGGGGGCCCAACCCCCGGACUGCUCUGGAAACUAUGUUACUAGAGUGCAGGAGAGGUAAGCGGAAUUCCUAGUGUAGCGGUGAAAUGCGUAGAUAUUAGGAGGAACACCAGUGGCGAAGGCGGCUUACUGGACUGUAACUGACGUUGAGGCUCGAAAGCGUGGGGAGCAAACAGG